rnacentral:rRNA from 1 species
UACAGAGGUCCCAAGCGUUGUUCGGAAUCACUGGGCGUAAAGCGCACGUAGGCGGAUCUUUAAGUCAGGGGUGAAAUCCUGGAGCUCAACUCCAGAACUGCCUUUGAUACUGGGGAUCUCGAGUCCGGGAGAGGUGAGUGGAACUGCGAGUGUAGAGGUGAAAUUCGUAGAUAUUCGCAAGAACACCAGUGGCGAAGGCGGCUCACUGGCCCGGUACUGACGCUGAGGUGCGAAAGCGUGGGGAGCAAACAGG